UCUACGUUGUCGAAAGGGAAUUGUAACUGUUAAACUUUCAGCUGUCCAAAACAGCAAAUCCAUCACUUGGAAAUAAAGGCUCUUUAUUUGAAGCUGGGAAGUUGAAGGGAGAUUCACUUGAACCCUUGCAUGUGAAGCAGAUUAAAAAGCACAUUAGUACACCUGUUCCUCAUUAUUCAUAUUCAGUUCCUUCAGUAAGCAGUUCUUGAAAGUAUCUUGCAGUUGUCUGGCCUGAUAUUCCUUAUUUCUCUAUCUGCAAGGUUAGCGAUUGGUCCAUUGAUUCAGGAAGUGCAAGGCUUCUGGCAUGGGAUACAUGUUGUGACAGAUUUGCUAUAUCAGAGUCUGCGUUACCUCCUAGAAUGCCCAUUCUCCCCAAGAGAAGUUCAUCAAGAAAAGCAAAAGUAGCUGCAGCUGCAGCUCAGGCUGCAGCAGCAGCUGCUACUGCUGCUUCUGCUAAUGUCCAAGUUCGCGUUUUGCUGGAUGAUGGAACUUCAAACAUAUUAAUGGGGUCCAUAGGUAGCCUAAGUGAACCGGUCAUUGGCCUGCAUGGAGGGGCCCUACUUGGUGUUGCCUAUCCGACAUCUCGUAGGGUUAAGCCUAUGCUGCAACAGCUAUAUCAACAAUUCAGUCUAUGCUGUUGUCAGGAUUUGGAAGUACCAGAUCUUUUGCUACUUUUGAUGAUGGAUUUUCUUCUUAGAGAUCUCCUACUGAGGCAGUGCCUCAAAACUUUAAGCUUUUCAGUUGGGAGACUUUUAAAGCAGUAGGUGGUCUUCUCCCUCAGCCAGAGUGGACUGCAUGGGACCAAACUGUUUUGAGUAUUGUGCUCUUGCUUAUCAGUGUUAUAUUGUCAUCUGUUCCUUGUGCCCCCAGUAUAGAUACCUUGGAGAUGUUGCAAUUGCCUAUGCCACUGGAGCUGUUUGGCAACGGAGACAAUUGUUUGUGGCUACACCAACUACAAUUGAAUGUGUUUUUGUGGAUGCUGGAGUUGCACCCAUAGACAUAGAAACAAGAAAGAUGAAAGAAGAGAUGAAACUAAAAGAAGCACAGGCAAGAGCAGUUGCUGAGCACGGAGAGUUGGCUCUAAUCAUUGUAGAAGGUCCCCGAAUUGCUACACAAGAAAGAAUAAGAUUGAGACCACCUAUGCUGCAGCUAGUGUGAACACAAUCUCCCUAUUUCAGCCCAUCUUAUUUUUGCAUUUAUUUAAUGGAUUUGGACCAAGGAUAGGUCCAUCUUAUUUUUGGAUAAGUCUGCUUUAGUCUCAGCCUAAGUGAUAUGAUGUGCAGACACUCUAGUGUCAAUCUCUUCUUGAUGGAAAAGACGUCUUCAAGUCUGAACUAGUAUUCUCAUCAUGGUAGGAUGACAAAUCAGCAACAUUGAAGGUGAAAGAGACUUCAUAAGUGUCAAGAAGUUCUAUCUUGUAGGCAUUCUACCUAAUUCGUUGGAUAAUUCUAAAUGGACCAUCAAUCUUAGGUUGUAAUUUGUCAAACUUCCCUGGAGGAAACUCUCUUUCUCUGUUGUUAUAGUUGAAUGAUCGAUUGCCAUAUCUCUUCUAUGAGGGCAUCCCUUGGGUCAAUAUUGCUAGUCUGAACACAAAUCUUCCUAUUCCAACCUACCUUAUUUCUGCGUUUAUUUGGCGGAUUUGGACAAAGGAUAGGCCCAUCUUAUUUUUGGAUAAGUCUGUUUUAGUCUCAGUUCAAGUUGUAUGAUGUGCAGACACUUUGAUGGGCAAGCCGGCUUGGCAGAGAACAUCAUGAUGAUGUAGCAAAAUUUAUGCUUGGAAUGGGCUAUGCCACUGAAGCACUUCAUUUAACUAGCAUAUCUAAGAGGUUGGAGUUUGAUUUAGCCAUGAAGAGUAAUGAUUGAAAAGAGCUCUACCAUGUCUUCUUACAAUGAGCAACAACAAGGACAUAGGACAGGAUAAUCCCAGGUUUGGUUUGAAUGAUAUCCUUAAUUUGACAGCUAAAAAGGAAAAUCUGGUUAAGGCUGUUCAAGGAAUAGUAAAAUUCGCGAAAGAGUUUUUGGACCUUGUUGAUGUAGAUGAUGCUACUGGCCGGGCUGACAUUGCUCAUGAAGCUCUUAAAAGGUUAGCUACUGCAGGUUCAGUGAAAGGACCUUUAUAGGGUCAUGAGUUAAGAGGACUGCUCUUCGCCUUGUUAAUCAUGGAGAGUUGACACACCUGAGUGUAAGUUGCAAUGUUCAUAUCCUCUCUUUCAAACUGGUUAUUUGAGCUAUUUGAUGCUUGCUUGCUAAAAGGUUUUAAGAAUUAUAUGCUACAUAAGUACUUAACUCCAGUUACCUUUUUUUAUUAUUUAAAACUUUCUGUUCGAGGCCUUCAUCUCAUGUCUGAACCAUCUUAAUUAUUUCUCUCUUUUUUUUUCAUGUUUUGACCAACCAUUAUUUUUGUAUAUAGUUGGUGUUAUUUCUAAUAGUUUCUUGUAUACCCAAAUAUCUAUCUUAGUAUUCUCACUGUAAGGCAAUUUUCUAGUUGAAGUAAAUUAAAGCUAUCAAUUGAAAUUAAGGCUAUAUUUGGUACGCAAUAUUGUUAUAGUAUAGAAUAAUAUAAUAGUAUAAAUAAGAUUAGAUUAAAUUAUAUCUUAUGUUAUGCUUGUUUGUGUAAAGAUAAAGAACAAGAUAGAAUAUUAUUUUACCUUUUAUCAUGUUUGUUAUGUGUAAGAUUAAGAUUAAGAUAGGAUAAUAUUUUUUAUU